GUAGGGGGCAAGCGUUGUCCGGAUUACUGGGCGUAAAGAGCGUGUAGGCGGCCACACAGGUCCGUUGUGAAAACUGGAGGCUUAACCUCCAGACGUCGACGGAAACCGUAUGGCUAGAGUCCGGAAGAGGAGAGUGGAAUUCCUGGUGUAGCGGUGAAAUGCGCAGAUAUCAGGAAGAACACCAAUGGCGAAGGCAGCUCUCUGGGACGGUACUGACGCUGAGACGCGAAAGCGUGGGGAGCGAACAGGAUUAGAUACCCUGGUAGUCCACGCCGUAAACGAUGGGUGCUAGGUGUGGGAGGUGUCGACUCCUUCCGUGCCGUAGCUAACGCAUUAAGCACCCCGCCUGGGGAGUACGGCCGCAAGGCUA
rnacentral:rRNA from 1 species